CCGAGCAUACUCUGCUAAGCGUUGUUUCAUUGCUCAAUAUCGGUAAAAGUAAACAAACAAAGUAUUGUGCCAAAUUUAGUGAAUGAUUUCUUUUAUUCUUGGCUGGAUUUCGUGAAUAUUCUUUUAAGUUUAAACGCACAUCUAUUUCAGCAUGAGAGCCCCAAACAGCAGGAAGUACAUCAGAUGAAAUAGUGGAUAUAGUUUCCAGACAUUCAAUCAAAUUUCGAUGAUUGUCAAGAAACCGACCGCUGAAACUGUUAUUUAUUGAUGUGCGCUAACUGCAAUUUCCGAUUGGCAUUUUCUUCAUUACAAGGUGUUAACGUUACUUCGAGUUAACGUAGUCGAGCUUAAGAGCUGUUUUAGCAGUAGUGAAUGUGUAUACUGGUUGUAAUUGCAAGAGUUGUAGCUGUGUAAACUGUUCUAGUUAAAAUAUUUGUGAUAGAUAGGCAUAUUGAUAGCUAUUUCCGAUUUACGAUUCUAGUAACUCUUGUUGGUAGUCAUGGUUAGCAAGAUGAGAAUUAAUUUCAAUAAAACGUUUCAUGAUAAGUA